rnacentral:tRNA from 1 species
GGGGUAGUUGGAUGGUGUCCACCGCUCGGGCUAGGGAGCCGUGUCGGAAGUGGGUUCGAUUCCCACCUACUCCA